UUGCCUUUAGCUCAAAGUAUUAAAGGUAACGCCUGCCCAGUGAUAAUUAAACGGCCGCGGGAUCCUCCACCGUGCAAAGGUAGCAUAAUCACUUGUCCCCUAAAUAGUGACUAGUAUGAACGGCCAAAUGAAGAUUUUACUGUCUCUUAUAGUUGAUCUAUGAAACUAAUCUGUCAGUACAAAAACUGAUAUACUUACAUAAGACGAAAAGACCCUGUGGACCUUAAAGCACACCUCACCCAAUGAUAUACCUGCUUUUAGUUGGGGCAACUUUGGAACAAAACUAAACUUCCAAUUACCAAUCCAGAUAAACAUAUCUACACACCUAUUGACCCAGCAUUAGACUGAUCAAAGAACCAAGCUACCCCAGGGAUAACAGCGCCAUCCCCUCUUAGAGCCCAAAUCGACGAGUGGGGUUUACGACCUCGAUGUUGGAUCAGGGCCCCCAAACAGUGCAACCGCUGUUAAAGGUUUGUUUGUUCAACAAUUAAAGC
rnacentral:rRNA from 1 species